UACGUAGGGAGCAAGCGUUGUCCGGAAUCAUUGGGCGUAAAGCGCGCGUAGGUGGCUUCAUAAGUCCGUUGUGAAAGUCAAAGGCUCAACCUUUGAAAGCCGAUGGAUACUGUGGAGCUAGAGUACGGAAGAGGCGAGUGGAAUUCCUGGUGUAGCGGUGGAAUGCGCAGAUAUCAGGAGGAACACCGGUGGCGAAGGCGGAUCUCUGGGCCUGUCCUGACGCUGAGGCGCGAAAGCUAGGGGAGCGAACAGG
rnacentral:rRNA from 1 species